rnacentral:misc_RNA from 1 species
GAAAUGCGAUAAGUAAUGUGAAUUGCAGAAUUCAGUGAAUCAUCGAAUCUUUGAACGCACCUUGCGCUCCUUGGCAUUCCGAGGAGCAUGCCUGUUUGAGUGUCGUCAAAUUCUCACUACCCGUGCUGUCUGAUGUGGAUGGACAACGUCCAAUACACCUUCAAGACAGUGGGGCCUGGAUCGGUGGAGGAUGCAUUGCUGGCAGCUAACCCCUUUGCUUUGCUUUGCUUCUCUGAAAUGGAUCGGCGUCACGGCUUCGUUGUCGGUAUGAUACACAUACAUGUCUUACCUGCUUCCUACCUGUGCCAGCCUUGAACACAAACACACUCUCACGAUUUGACCUCAAAUCAGGCAGGACUACCCGCUGAACUUAA